AAAACCAUUAAAACCUCUUUGUCAAAGCAGUAUGUAGGGGUAUUUAUGUUUUUAACCAGGUUUUCCGAAGGAAAAAACUGGUUAUUAGAUUGGCGAAUGCGGGCGGGCUGGCUGGCUGGCUGGCUGGCGGGCUGGCUGGCGGGCUGGCGGAAUAAGCUUGUCCGGGCCAUAACUAUGUCGUUCAUUGUCAGAUUUUAAAAUCAUUUGGCACAUUUGUUCACCAUCAUUGGACGGUGUGUCGCGCGAAAUAAUUACGUCAAUAUCUCCAAGGUCAAGGUCACACUUUGAGUUCAAAGGUCAAAAAUGGCCAUAAAUGAGCUUGUCCUGGCCAUAACUAUGUCAUUCAUUGUGAGAUUUUAAAAUCAUUUGGCACAUUUGUUCACCAUUAUGGGACGGUGUGUCCCACGAAAGAAUCACGUCAAUAUCUCCAAUGUCAAGGUCGCCACGACUAAAAAUAGAUUAAAAAAAAAAAAAAAAACUUACAAAGGGGGUUAAUUUUUUUUGGUCAUUUCAAAAGUUCAGUUU